AGAGGGUUUAGACCCUCGGCAAACGGGUUCGGAACGCGUAGGAACUUACCCUGAAGUCAUGGAUAAUCCGGAGAAAUCCGGAACAAUACAUGAUACCCUCUACGGAGGAAAGAUUUAUCGCUUCAGGAGAGGCCUGCGUCCUAUCAGCUAGUUGGUGAGGUAAUAGCUCACCAAGGCGAUGACGGGUAGGGGGUGUGAGAGCAUGGCCCCCAACAUUGGAACUGAGACACUGUCCAAACACCUACGGGUGGCUGCAGUCGAGAAUAUUCGUCAAUGGGCGCAAGCCUGAACGAGCGACGCCGCGUGCAGGAAGAAGGUUUUCGGAUUGUAAACUGCUUUUCUCUGGGAACAAUUACGAUGAGUGUACCAGAGGAAUAAGAGGUUACUAACUCUGUG
rnacentral:rRNA from 1 species